CAGGAGAAGACCCCCUAGCAACAGCCGGAUCAUGCGCAGACGAACGGUAUAAAAGAGCGGAAGCAAGGGGGUGUUACAGCAUCAACAAAAGAAUAGCCGAAGACCCCAAUAACAACAAAUGAGACAUGCGCAGAGUACCCUGGAAAUACCACGGCAGUCAUUUGGAACCACAUAAAAGAACGGCCCCAAUCUUCGGGUGGCGCGGCAGUUGGCAGGACGGAGAUCCCCCUGUCGCCCAGCACUGCAUUGCCUCUUUGUUCUUUGCUCAUUAUAAUUAAUAAAUUCAACAAUUGACUCCUUAA